CUAGCAAUUGCUACAAAUAGGAUCACUGUUAUUUAAGAUAGGUAAUUUCACUGGAAAGUGAAAUCUGUGUGAAAACUUCAACAAGGAUCACAUAAAUCUCUUGCUACAUAGAGAAAUCUGCAGGCUUAGCAAGGGAUGAGCUCUCAGCUAGAAAUAUGAGCACAAAUAUGAAUUGUUGGGGUUCUUUUAAGAAAAUAGAAGGAUAAAUGCUGCUGAGAACUUUGAAGAUUCAGAAUGAAUGUGAAUACCAGCCUGUUCGAUGGACAUUUUCCUCACACUAGCCAGUUGUAAAGCCCUGGAGAAAAUCUGAGCUGCUUUCUGAAAAUUGUCUAUGUCCUGUCACUUCAAGUAAGGAGAUUCUGUUUCAAAGUGCUGGGAUUGGAGCCCACAUCCUCACACAUGCUACCACUCAAGUGUUCUACCACUGAACUACACUCACAGUCCUCCUCUUCUGAUUUUCAUAUUAAAACACCAGGAAUGAACCCUCUCAUCAUGUGUAGACACAGAGAGAUGGAAGUCAUCUGCAAGCAAAGGAAUGAAGACCCUCAAAACCAAACCUACCAACAUCAUGAACUUGGAUAUUUAGCCUUCAGAACUUUGAAAAGAUAGAGUUAUUUAAACAUCUUAGUGAGAAAUAUUUUUAUGGAAGUCUUAGCAAAUUAAUGGAGUCAGUUUUCUCAAGAGGCUUAUGUUUUAGAGAGUUUUAGCUUCAGGGAAAAAUUGAGCAAAAUAUAGAGAAGGAAUAUUUUCCACAGUGCCUCUACACAUGCGUAGCUUCCUACGUUAUUAACAAUCACCAACAGAAUGGUACAUUUGUUAUAAUUGUUGAAGUUUUGUGACACAUAAUUAUUAUCCAAAGUCCAUGUUAUACAGAGGGUUCAUAGUUGGUGUUGAAUAUUUCCUGGAUUAAAAAAAAUGUGUAAUGUAUUUAUUUACCUUUAUAGUACUAUACAAAUAGUUUCACUGGUGAAAAGAAAAAUCUUCUAUGCUCUAUUAGUCCUUCUCCAUAACCCCUGAAACCACUGGUCUUUUUAUUAUCUCCACAUAUUUUUAUUUUUCAGAAUUUUUGAGCAGUUGAAGUCAAACUAUCUAAAAGGAUUUGAAUUUGGCUUUUGCCACAUAGUAAUGUAC
rnacentral:lncRNA from 1 species